UUCCAGCUGAGCCUUUCUGCCCAGGAAGCUAAUCAACCUGCAAAUCAGCAGAAACUGGGUGAGCUAAAACUUCAUCAUUCUGAAAUUCACGCUAUCAACAGCAGUUCUGGUGUUUCCUGUGCCUUUCAUCUGCAUCCAUUUGCAUUUGGUAUCCAUACAGAAGUCACAUUCUGCCUUCAAGGGCUAUCUGCUUAUUUCCUCAGAUUUUCUAUGUCUUAAGACAAUGAGAGCAAAUUUAACAAGCAACAAGAGAACAAAAUAGAUGACUUCAGUCUGACAUCUGAAAAAAAUCAAGCUUUGAGAAAACAGUUGUGUCUUUGGGGAUAAAUUGCUUUGACAACAGAGGGCAAGUGCUCUGCAGGCCUGAUCUACUAAAGUUCUGACUUUGUGA